AUAAUUUUAAUUUGUUUAUUUAUUAGUAUUGCAUACUAUUGUAAGAAAAUAUUGUUUUAACAAUAAAUAAAAAUAAAGAGUAGAAUUUUUUUUAAUUUUAUUAUUACGUAAUAAAAAAUAAAAAAAUUAGAGUUGAAAAGUCGUUUUUUAUGAUAUUUGUAUAAGUUAAGUUAUUAGAAAAUUAUAAUUUAAAAAAAAAUAUAUUGUAAAUUAAAAAGUUAUAGUAUUUUUUAUUAUUGGUUUUAUAACAGUUUAUUGAUUUGUUUUUAUUUAGUUUUAUUAAUAGUUAUUAAGUUUUUAGUAAUUAUAAUAUUUAUAAAUUAGUAAAUUAAGGUAAUUAAUAUAAAAAAUUGAAAUUUAAUUAAAGAAAUUGAAUAUUAAUCAAAUGUUUUUUAAAGACUUAGACUUUAUUUUAAAGUUUGCUUCCGCCCAGUGAUAUAUUAAAUGGCAGUCUUAGCGUGAGGACAUUAAGGUAGCAAAAUAAUUUGUGCUUUUAUUGAGUUCCAGUAUGAAUGAAGUUAUUGGUUAAUUAUUUUUUAGUUUUAUUUUUGAAUUUAUAUUUUUAUAAAAAAGUAAGAUUAUAAUUAUACAAAGAUAAGUCUUCGGAAAUUCUUUUAAGAUAAAUAUAAUUUAUUUAUUAUUAAAUUUUCUAGGGCAGAAUAUUAUAUAAUUAUUUUUUCUAUUAAUAAUUUAAUGAAUUACUCCGGAGUUAACAGAAAAUCAUAUCUAAUCCAGUUCUUAUGGUAAGAUAAGUUUUACAUCGAUGUUGUAUUUAAAUAAUUUAGAAGAGGAGAAAAUCUAAUUUUUAAGACUGUUCUUCUUUUAAUUAAUUUAACGUGAUAUUAGUUUAAUUCAUUGUG
rnacentral:rRNA from 1 species